AUUGAACGCUGGCUGCAGGCCUAACACAUGCAAGUCGAGCGUAUGUAGCGUGCUUGCUCCUGGAUUCAGCGGCGGACGGGUGAGUAAUGCCUAUGAAUCUUCCUGGUAGUGGGGGAUCACGUCCGGAAACUGGCGCUAAUACCGCAUCCGUCCUGAGGGAGAAAGUGGGGGAUCUUCGGACCUCACGCUAUCACCUGAGCCUAGGUUGGAUUACCUAGUUGGUGGGGUAAAGGCCUCCCAAGGCGACGAUCCGUAACUAGUCUGAGAGGAUGAUCAGUCACAUUGGAACUGAGAAACGGCCAAGACGCGAACGGGAGGCAGCAGUGGGGAAUAUUGGACAAUGGGCGAAAGAAUGAUCGAGACAGGCCGCGUGUGUGAAGAAGGUAUUCGGAGUGUAAAAAAAAUUAAGUUGGGAGGAAGGGAAGUAAGUAAAUACCUUGCUGUUUUGACAUGACCAAAAGAAUAAGCACCGGCUAACUUCGUG
rnacentral:rRNA from 1 species